GCGAGUAUAGUUAAAUGGUAGAACAUAUCCUUCCCAAGGAUAGGACACGGGUUCGAUUCCCGUUACUCGCUCCA
rnacentral:tRNA from 3 species